rnacentral:rRNA from 1 species
AUGGCUCAGGAUGAACGCUAGCGACAGGCCUAACACAUGCAAGUCGAGCGGCAGCACCUCGGGUGGCGAGCGGCGCACGGGUGAGUAACGCGUAUGUAACCUGCCCAUGAGUGGGGGAUAGCCCGGUGAAAACCGGAUUAAUACCGCAUAAUACCAUUAUCUGACAUCAUUCAAUGGUUAAGGAUUCAUUGCUCAUGGAUGGACAUGCGUUGGAUUAGCUAGUCGGCGGGGCAACGGCCCACCGAGGCGACGAUCCAUAGGGGUUCUGAGAGGAAGGUCCCCCCACAUUGGUACUGAGACACGGACCAAACUCCUACGGGAGGCAGCAGUGAGGAAUAUUGGUCAAUGGCCGAGAGGCUGAUCCAGCCAUGCCGCGUGCGGGAGGACGGCCCCUAUGGGUUGUAAACCGCUUUUGUUGGAGAGCAAUAAGGUCCACGUGUGGAUCGAUGAGAGUAUCCAGCGAAUAAGCAUCGGCUAACUCCGUGCCAGCCGCAGC